rnacentral:rRNA from 1 species
AGCGUAGACGGUUAUGCAAGUCUGAAGUGAAAUGCGGGGGCUUAACCCCUGAACUGCUUUGGAAACUGUAAAACUGGAGUGCAGGAGAGGUAAGUGGAAUUCCUAGUGUAGCGGUGAAAUGCGUAGAUAUUAGGAGGAACACCAGUGGCGAAGGCGGCUUACUGGACUGUAACUGACGUUGAGGCUCGAAAGCGUGGGGAGCAAACA